UACGUAGGGUGCAAGCGUUGUCCGGAAUUAUUGGGCGUAAAGAGCUCGUAGGCGGUUUGUCGCGUCGGCUGUGAAAACCCGGGGCUCAACCCCGGGCCUGCAGUCGAUACGGGCAAACUAGAGUUCGGUAGGGGAGACUGGAAUUCCUGGUGUAGCGGUGAAAUGCGCAGAUAUCAGGAGGAACACCGGUGGCGAAGGCGGGUCUCUGGGCCGAUACUGACGCUGAGGAGCGAAAGCGUGGGGAGCGAACAGG
rnacentral:rRNA from 1 species